rnacentral:rRNA from 1 species
CACUCGAGGAGGAGCCUGCGUCGCAUCAGCUAGUUGGUGGGGUAACGGCCUACCAAGGCGAAGACGCGUAGCUGGUCUGAGAGGAUGAUCAGCCACACUGGGACUGAGACACGGCCCAGACUCCUACGGGAGGCAGCAGUGAGGAAUAUUGCACAAUGGGCGAAAGCCUGAUGCAGCAACGCCGCGUGAGGGACGAAGGCCUUCGGGUUGUAAACCUCUUUUCUGGGGGACGAGACAAGGACGGUACCUCAGGAAUAAGUCUCGGCUAACUACGUGCCAGCAGCCGCGGUAAGACGUAGGAGGCGAGCGUUAUCCGGAUUUACUGGGCGUAAAGCGCACGCAGGCGGCUUCGUUAGUCGGAUGUGAAAGCUCCUGGCUUAACCGGGAGAGGCCAUUCGAUACUGCGAGGCUUGAGGUUGGAAGAGGGGUGUGGAAUUCCCGGUGUAGUGGUGGAAUGCGUAGAUAUCGGGAGGAACACCUGUGGCGAAAGCGGCACCCUGGUCCACACCUGACGCUGAGGUGCGAAAGCGUGGGUAGCAAACAGGAUUAGAUACCCUGGUAGUCCACGCCGUAAACGAUGUCAACUGGGUGUCGGUGGUUUUACACUAUCGGUGCCGAAGCAAACGCGUUAAGUUGACCGCCUGGGGACUACGAUCGCAAGAUUAAA